GGGUAACUAAAUAUACCAUAGUUAAAAUAUCACGAAUUAGUUUGAGCUAAAUAUUGUAGGUUAUUAGACUUGAAUAUUAAAUGUAGCAAAAUUUUUGGCUGAGUAAUAUUUAGGGGUGAAAAGCCAACAAAAACUAGGAUAGCUUGAUACCCUUGAAAAGUAUUUAGUACACCUACAAACGCGAAGUGGCCAGGCUUCGCAUAAAUAUUAAUAAUUUAGGGGGGCAAAAAUAAAGUUUAACAACUAAUUAAACUCUACAAAUAAUAUAAAAAUAUACUUGAUUAUAUCAUCUAAGGGACUGUGUGCGAAAUUAUAAGACCCACUAAUAAUGUUACCAUUAGUAUUUUUCAAGCUCUUUACAAAGAACUCGGCAACAAUUUUCUCAACUGUUUAUCAAAAACAUAGCUGGGAGCUCUUAUUCUUAGUUUUUUCUGCUCGGUGAUAUUUAAACAGCCGCAGUACCCUGACUGUGCAAAGGUAGCAUAAUCAAUUGGCUUAUAAUUGGAGUCUGGAAUGAACGAAAGAAUGGGGGAAUGCUGUUUCGUAAAGAAAAGUAGAAGUUAAUUAAAAAGUGAAAAUGCUUUUGAAAAAAUAAUAGACGAGAAGACCCUAGAAAUUUUUACAAAUAUUAAUAAUGGAGUUUUUGUUGGGGCGACAGAAUAACAUAAAAACUUAUUUAACCACAAUCCGAGAUCUUUAAUUUGAACAACCAAAUUACUCUAGGGAUAACAGCAUAAUAUUCAAAAGUUUGUGACCUCGAUGUUGGACUAGAGAAAUUAAGCCUAGAA
rnacentral:rRNA from 1 species